rnacentral:rRNA from 1 species
ACGAACGCUGGCGGCGUGCUUAACACAUGCAAGUCGAACGGAAAGGCCCUGCUUUUGUGGGGUGCUCGAGUGGCGAACGGGUGAGUAACACGUGAGUAACCUGCCCUUGACUUUGGGAUAACUUCAGGAAACUGGGGCUAAUACCGGAUAGGAGCUCCUGCUGCAUGGUGGGGGAUGGAAAGUUUCGGCGGUUGGGGAUGGACUCGCGGCUUAUCAGCUUGUUGGUGGGGUAGUGGCUUACCAAGGCUUUGACGGGGAGCCGGCCUGAGAGGGUGACCGGCCACAUUGGGACUGAGAUACGGCCCAGACUCCUACGGGAGGCAGCAGUGGGGAAUAUUGCACAAUGGGCGGAAGCCUGAUGCAGCAACGCCGCGUGCGGGAUGACGGCCUUCGGGUUGUAAACCGCUUUCGCCUGUUACGAAGCGUGAGUGACGGUAAUGGGUAAAGAAGCACCGGCUAACUACGUG